UACGUAUGGGGCAAGCGUUAUCCGGGUUUACUGGGUGUAAAGGGAGCGCAGGCGGCCUGGCAAGCCUGAUGUGAAAUACCGGGGCCCAACCCCGGGGCUGCAUUGGGAACUGCCAGGCUGGAGUGCCGGAGAGGCAGGCGGAAUUCCUAGUGUAGCGGUGAAAUGCGUAGAUAUUAGGAGGAACACCAGUGGCGAAGGCGGCCUGCUGGACGGUGACUGACGCUGAGGCUCGAAAGCGUGGGGAGCAAACAGG
rnacentral:rRNA from 1 species